UUUUAUAGGAAGGAUGAUUUAGAAAGAUUUUUUUUAAUGUGUGUUUUUUGAAUUAUUUUUUAUUUCUUUAAUCAUUUUUGAGUUAAUGAAACUGGCGAUGUGGGGCUAUAGUUUCCAGGUACAGUUUUUUUUUUUGAGAAACAUUUCCAGGUACAGCAUUUUUUUUUGAGGCAAAUUUCCAGGUACAGCUUACCCGUAGCACUAGCAGCAGGCCGCCGUCUGCUCCCGCUCCACCGGUACCAAACAAGCCCGGUACGUGGAUCAGGCCCACAGAAAAUACGACACAGUCCCUCUCGUGGACGGCCCAGGUUACACAGGCCCGCUCGUACCCAUCGCGCUCCCGUGAACGAGACGGACUCAGACCUCGUCUCGGGGCGCGACGGCCGCCGAGAUCCGCGCCGCGCAGCCUCGCCGCCGCGUUCGACGAGGGAGCUCGGGCACGCAAGAUCCGCGCCGCGCAGCCUCGCCGCCUAUCGAGAGUCUGAUUCGGAGAUGUGCGGGAUGCGGGCCAGCGGCGCGGCACCGCCGUGGGCAGUGGGGCGGACGCGCACCUCUAGGACGACCCGGACGGCGCCGCCAUCCCGGCGCUCCUCGACUCCCGCUUCGACGGCGACAAGCUGGACGCCCUUAAGCACCUUCUCGCCCUCAUCUCUCGGGGCGUCGACGUCGCCCACCUCUCCCCGCAGGCGACGGAAUUGCGUCUGUGCUUGUUGCGCAGGCGGCCACAAACUUGGCGGCUUAGUCGUUUGAGGUGAAGAAGCCCUCCUACCUGAUCCACUACGCCCAACGCCGCCCUCAUCUUCACUUCUCCCUGCAAUGCGACAAAUCAGAGCCAAAUCAGUUGCAUUGAAAUGCAAGAAGAGAGAAGCUGGACAUAUCAAGUCUGUACCCUUCAAAGUUAUUCACAGCCUUAUUAGCAAUCACGGAAAGAAGUCGUCUGCAAAUCGAUUUGGUUUCGUCUCUUGCGCAGGUUGGCACUUUUGGUCUGUGCGUGAUUGCACUCAUGAUGCUGCACGGGGAAGAGAUGAGCAUCGCUAAGGUGCCCGGAACAGGUGGAAGCUACAUGCACCAACCCAAAUUGUCAUUUAAAAGCUCUUCACCACGCUGCUGAACCCGGGCUCCAACGGGAACCACGUAGGCGACCUCCGGAGUCUCCGGGGAUCGUUCCAGGAUUACAUGUGCAGCAACUAUCAGCUGGUGGUCAAGCUGAACCAGCUGCUGGUAAAGCAGAAGGCCUCCCUGUGCUCAUCCUGAGCGAGUAGAAAAUGUUAUUUUUCGGAAGAUUCAAGGAUGUUCAAGGAGUGACCAAAAGCAUUGAAGACUUUGCCGAGCGAGGCAAGCAACCUACGCUAAUCAUGUUGAACCCAUAUUUGCAUUACACACUUCGAAUUAUUUUUCAUGCAUAAAGUAUUGUUUUACUAGUAUUGCUAUGCUAAGUAAGUUAGCUAGGGUUAAGCUAUGCCCUAUCUGCUUGAUAUUGACACCCCCUUUGACAUUCUUAAUACCCCUCCUUUCUAACCCUCUUGGGAAAUAAAGAAGCCAUCAGAGGUAGAGGAAACCCUGAAUCACAAGGAAGUAGGAAAUAAGACCAAGAUCAAACAUAGAAACUAUUCACUAAGACUAGCAUUCACAAAGGCAAUCCACUCAGCGUCGUCGCCAGUGAUGAUCAUGCCAUCGACAUAUAGCAUAAGAGUUCGACCACGAGCUGAAAGGUGGACAUAAAGUGCAGGAUCAUGAGCACUCGCCAAAAACUAGCUGCGGUCACCAUUGAGACAAACCAGACACGAGGGGCUUUCUCAUGCAACUCACCAUUAAGAAAUGCAUUCUUGGCAUCAAGCUGAGAGAUAGACCAGUGGCGAACAAAUAUCAUACUGAGAAGUGUGCGAAGAGUGGUCAUGCGUGCCAUAGGAGCAAAUGUCUCAUUGUAAUCACAACCAUGUUCUGUUGAAAGCCACGGGUCACAAGAUGAGCUUUGUAACGCUCAAGUGAACCAUCAGAGUCUAAACCUUGUAGACCCACUUACAAGUUAACACGUGAUGGGAUAGGCACGGGGAGGAAGGGAAAUGUGAUCCCACAUGUCGGCGCGCUCAAGAGCAGCAAUCUCCUAUGACAUCACAUGCCGUCGCUCGGGAAGAACACGACGACUCGGUAAGAAGUCGUCUCGGGAAGAGCGACGUCAGAACACCCAUAGCGGACAAUAGGCGGAAGCGGGCGAGCACGGAAGCCAUAAGCAGGUUAAGCUGGAGGAGGUGUGUUGCCAACAGAAGGAGACAUAAUAGUUGAGGAUGGCGCAUCUAAAGAAUCCACGACACACUAGUUACUAAUGUAGUAAAGAAGAGUACGAGGGGGAAUCACCGGGAAAGCCGCAGGUGACGAUGAUGUGGGGUCUAUAACAGUAGUAUGGGAAGACACGGUGGGACGGUAGACGGGUGAUAGGUGUAUCAGGAAAAAGUUAGGAAAUAUCCUUGAUGGGGGAGGCCGAAGGAGAGGAUAAGCGUGGAUAGAAAGGACGAGACUCGUCAAAAGUCACAUCCCGAGGAAAUGCGCAUCCAUCGACCGAUAGGAUCCCAACACUGAUAGCCCUUGUGCUCAUCACUGUAACCCAAGAAGACACAUUCAAUAGACUGAGCAGUCAGUUCGGUGCAUUCACGGGGGUGGGGGGCAACAAGAGCGUAGCAAAUGCAAUCAAACAAACGAAGCGAUGAGUAGUCACGAGAACGAUCAGAAAUACGUUCGAGAUGAAUGUCAUCCUACAAAGUAAGGAACGCUGAAUGUUGAUGAGGUAGGUUGAAGUAGAAACAACCUCAACCCAAAAGUGUGAUGGAAGUGAGGCAACGAUCUUCAACACAUGAGCCGCCUCAAGAAGUUGACGAUGCUUGCGCUCGACAACAACAUUCUGAGCAUCAUGUCCACGCCAAGAGAACCGAGCAAGUGUGCCCUGCUCGGCAAGGAAUCCGCGCAACAAACGACAGAUAAAAUCAUGAGUAAAAUCUGCAUGGAAGACACAGAUAGGAGUGGAAAACACGGUAUGAAGCAUUGCUGAUUUGCUGCAAACUUCUUACAAACAAAUAAGACCUCACCACAAGAAGGCAUAAAAUAUAUCCAUGUGUGUCGAGAGAUAAUAUAGUAGCAAUAGCCUCCUUUCGAGGCAAAGGGAGCUGGACCCCAAACAUCAAGUGAACAAGAUCAAAAGGACGCUGAGACACAGUCUCACUAUGAAGAUAAGGUAACUGAACCUUUUUGGAAAGCCGACAAACCUGACAGUCUAAAGACACUCCUCUAGAGCAUAUCCAAGGACACGUCGAACUAAGGAUGACAGAUGAGAGCCACAUGAGUGACCAGGACGAUGAUGCCACAAAGAGUCGGUAGGCGAGGAGAGGCGGAGAGACUGGCGGCGGUGUCAUCAGAGGGAAGGUGAAGCCAAUCAAGGUCCCGAAUGACCUGGGAGUUAUAGCGUCGAGGGCCAGCAACAAGUAGACCAUCCGCGUGAGGAUCCUAAUCAGAACAAGAGUUAAAGUCAAGAAUAACCCUACAACCAGAGUUAACAAUCUAACCACCUGAAAUGAGUUGCAUGGGUCGAUGAACAUGAGCAAAACAAGGAACAUGAAAAGACAAAAGUGCUAAGAGUGCCUCGACUAUCGACUGGGAGGGAAGUUCCUAAGAACAUGAACAUGAGAAUCUGGAGGUCGAAUGGCCGACAAAGUUGAAGAAUCAGACGAAGAAGCACCAGGCCGUAAAACUAGAAGAAGUGGGUGUCAAAGUCUUGCAAUUUUUGUUCCUCGUCGAUUUGGCUUGGCGUCCUUCCCUUGUAUGCGGAUUAUGUGUCACGAACUUGAUGUCGCAUCCUACGUUCCCUUGUUGGGGGCCCUUGGCCCCGGCGACAGGUAGCGUCGUGCACACAUCUUGUGGGUUAGACAUUGCGGUGCCGACUGCCCCUGCUCUUGCUCUGCCAAUAGGUGGUGCUCGAGCGUUCGGCUAUGGCGGUGCCCAACAGGGGAACACGGGUUGUGGGAUCGAGGCAGCACACAAAGCAACCCGUAGCCAAGCAAAGGAUGCCCAACCGGACUGGCAUGGAGCGGAGAGUGCAUGAGGGGUGUGGGGGAAGGGGUGAAAAUGUCGCCGGGAGCGGAUUGCCACCGCCGUCAUAUUUUGAACCUGGAGUUGAGCGGUGAGGGGAUGACGAUAGGGGAAGCGAGGAAGGCAGGAAGAGGGCACCUGGAGUAGAAAGGCAUCAUCCACCCUAUGCCUAUGUGUCAGCUGCGAUGGUGGACGGUUGUGGGUUGUUUCGAUGUCUUCACGUGGAUCUACUACUCGGGAUGGCAUGACAUGGUUGUUGUGGACUAAGGUGCCACAACUAUUGUGUUGUGUGGGUGAGUUUGGAGAGAUAGAAGUCAUUGCGCUCUAGUCUAGGCCUUCAAUUGCACCAUGUGCAACUUAUUUCGAGUUUUUGCGUUCUCAAGCUUAAGCCUUUCUCUGAUCCAAACCUAGCCCAAGAAACCCAGCCUUGCUAUUAAAGUUCUGAAAGCAUGGACUUAUAUCGAUGUGCUUAACUUGUGGAAUUAUAAGAGCACCGCUUAAGCACCAACAACUUUUGCCUGGAAUAAAAGCCAACAUGAGAUUGUGAUUGUGUGAGUCAAUCAUGUUACAUCCUUAAGCUCCAAUAUACACCAAGUUGGGUGGUGCCAUGCGGAAUUUGUUUUGAGGAGUUAUGAUUGGAUGAGAUAGUUUGAUGGUGAUAUAGAAGUGAUAUUCAGGAGAUAGUCGAAGAUGUUCGGUGGAUUAUGAAAACUUAGGUCUAGUUGAGCAUAGUGAUUAUUAUAUUGGUGGAUAAGCAGAUAUUUAAUUAAUCUUGGAACAAUUUGGAUUUAGUUAGGUGAUUGUGAUUUUGAAUCAAAUUUCAUGGUGGAUAAAUAACUUCAAUAGUACAUAUACAGAUCCAUAGUCGGUCAUUAGAACUUGUGGUUUAUAUUGGAUUUAGAUAACCACGAAAUUGGAGUUUAUUUAAAUCAUGGCUAUGAUGUUGGUGGAUUGCUCUGUGUUAAAUUCACACCUUUGGAGAUUGAAGUUGAAGAACUUUAGGGUGUAGUAUGAUCAACCUUGGAUAUAUUGGAUUUAUAUAGGUUAGAUGAUAGUUAGCAGCAUCAAUCAUGAUUAUGAAAUUUGGUGGAUUAUUAGAGCAUCUGGGAUUGAAUUAGUAGUAUAAGGAAACAAGGAUCUUGGAGUAACACAACUUGUGUUUCCUUUAGGUCAGAGUGACAGUUAGCAGCAUCAAUCAUGAUUAUGAAAAUUGGUGGAUUAUUGGAGCAUCUGGGAUUGGAUUAGUAGUAAGGAAACAAGGAUCUUGGAGUAAUACAACUUGUGUUUCCUUUAGGUCAGAGUGACAGUUAGCAGCAUCAAUCAUGAUUAUGAAAAUUGGUGGAUUAUUGGAGCAUCUGGGAUUGGAUUAGUAGUAAGGAAAUAAGGAUCCUGUAGUAGCACAACUUGUGAUUUCUUUAGGUUUAAUGAUAUAGCUACUUGGAUUACAGGAUGGAGAUAACUUGGGGGCACUCAGAUUUUUGAUGUUUUGAUCUAAGCUUAGUAGCUUGCAUGUGCCCCAUAUGGAUAUAAUCAUGGAUAUGAUACAUGUGUAUCAGAAUUGUUAGACCUACGUGAUUUUGUUGUCCCUCCCAAAGAAUGUUACGAGUACAAGAUCAUUAUGGGAGGAUGGUUUGGAUUAAUUCGGAGAGAUGACCAUUUUGAUAGUAUGUGAUAACCUUUGUGGGAGUUGGGCCAUGUGAGUCUCACAACAGUUGGUGUCAAAGAAAUGGUGUUUAAGUGUUAUGGUGAACUUUCACCCUCACAUCCUAACCCUAUCAACCUUAAGUCUCACCAAGCCAUGACUUGGUCGAGCUACGACAACAGAGCUGGAUAUGAACGAUGUGGCCCUUGACCUAAUCCUUACCCUACCAAGCUAUUUGAUGAACAUCAUGAAUAACAUGUUUGUGAGUACCUGGACAAGUUUCUUGCGAUGACCUCUUGGUCUAUUAUCCCUCGGAGGAAGAUCAUAGGCAACACCCGAGAAUGAUUUUAUGUGGAUUUAGUUUGGUGAUUGUGAUAUUGAGGAGAUAGUCAAAGAUGGUACGAGAUUUUACGUUUAGUAGGUGAGCAUGUCAUUAAUACGUUGGUGGAUAAACACGUUUUUAUUUAAUCUUGAAACAAUUUGAAUUUAGUUAAGCGAUUGCGAUCUUGAAUCAAACUUCAUGGUGAGUUUUGAGAUUUUGGAUGAAUAUACUUUGGUGAUUGUGAUCUUGUGGGGAUAGUUAAAUAUUUUCGGUGGAUUAUGAGAUUUUAGGUCUAGUAGCUGACCUUGGUGAUUAUCAGAUUGGUGGAUAAACAAAUAUUUAAUUAAUCUUACAAUAUUUUCGUAGUUAGGCGAUUUUGGUUGAAUAUACUUUGGUGAUUGUGAUCUUUAGGAGAUGGUCAAAGAUUUUCGAUGGAUUAUGAGAUUUUAGGUCUAGUCGGUGACCGUGGUUAUUAUUAGAUUGGUGGAUAAACAAAUAUUUAAUUAAUCAUACAAUAAUUUGUUAGUGAGGUGAAUAUGAUCUUGAACCAAAUUUCACAUCGCAUUAUGAGAUUUUAGGUGGAUCUAGUUAGGUGAUUAUGUUCUUGAUAGUCCCAAGAUGUUUGGUGGAUUAUGAGAUUUUAGGUCUAACUGGUGAGCAUAGUGAUUGUUAUAUUGGUGGAUAAACAAAUCUUCAAUUAAUUUGAACAAUUUGGAUUUAGUUAGGUGAUUGUGAUCUUUAACAAAAUUUCAUAGUGGAUUAUGAGAUUUUAAAUGGAUUUAGCUAGGUGAUUGUGAUGUCGAGAAGAUAGUCAUUGAUGUUCGAUGGAUUAUGAGAUUUUAGGUCUAGUAGGUGAGCAUGAUGAUUAUUACAUUAGUGGAUAAACAAAUCUUUAAUUAAUUGGAACAAUUUGGAUUUAGUUAGGUGGUUAUGAUUUUGAAUCAAAUUUCGCGGUGGAUUAUGAUAUUUUAGGUGGAUUUAGUUUGGUGAUUGUGAUCUUGAGGAGAUAGUCAGAGAUGUGAGGUGGAUUUUGCGAAUUUAUGUCUAGUAGGUGCGCAUGGUGACUAUUAGAUUGAUGAAUAAACAGUUCUUUAAUUAAUCUUGCACUAAUUUGGGUGAUUGUGAUCUUGAACCGCUUGAGAUGAAUAUCACCUUCCAGAGCAAGGAAGACUGAAUGUUCAUGAGGUAGGUGGAAGUAGAAACAAGCUCAACCCAAAAGUGAGGUGGAAGAGAGGCAACGAUCUUCAACGCACGAGCCACCUUCUGAGCAUAGGACCAACAUUUUGAGCAUCAGGACCACGACAAGAGAACUUAGCAAGUGUCCCCUAGUCAGCAAGGAAUCUGCGCAGGAAAUGAUGGAUGAACUCACGAGCAAAAUCAGCAUGGAAGACACAAAUAGGAGUGAAAAACUGGGUUUGAAGCAUGACGGUAGAUUAGACCUCACUACAAGAAGGCAUAAAAUAUAUCCAUGCUUGUCGAGAGAAAUCAUCUAUAAAGAUAAUAUAGUAUUAAUAGCCUCCUUUUGAUGCAAAGGGAGGUGGACCCCAAACAUCAAGUUAACAAGAUCAAAAGGAUGCUGAGACACGGUCUCGCUAUGAAGAUAAGGUAAUUGAACCUGUUUGCCAAGCCAACAAACCUGACAGUCUAAAGACACACUGCUAGAGGCAUAUCCAAGAAGGCCACAUUGAACUAAGGAUGGCAGAUGAGAGAGACAUAAGUGACCAAGAAGAUGAUGCGACAAAGAGCCGGUAGACGAGGAGAGGCAAAGAGACUGGUGGUGGUGUCAGCAGAGGGAAGGUGAGGCCAAUCAAGCUCCCAAUGGACCUAGGAGUUAUAGCGUCGAGGGCCAGCGACAAGUCGUGCAUCUGUGUGAUGGUCCUAAUCAGAACAAGAGAAUGAUCCUACAACCAGAGUCAACAAUCUAAGCACCUGAAAUGAGCUACAUGGGUCGAGGAACAUGAGCAAAAGUAGGAACAUGAAAAGACAAAGUGCUAAGAGUGCCUUGACUAUUGACUGAGUGGGAAGUUCCAUCAACAGUAAGAACAUGUACAUGAGAAUCUGGAGGUCAAAUGGCCGACAAAUUGGAAGAAUCAUAAGUUAUAUGAAAAUAUGCUCCAGUACCAAAGAUCCAUGGAGAUGUACCUAGUUGUGUAAAAAGUGGUCUCUCGUUACCAGAAGAAUCAGUAGUAGAACUUGUCGAUGGAGAACCAAAAGAAGCAGCUAUCAGGCACUAAAGUUGCGUAAUCUUCAGUGUGGUUAUGGGCUCAUUGACAAAGAAGCACUAGACGGUGAAACUAGAAUAAGUGGAUGUUGCAGUCGUGCAAUUUUUGUUCCUCGUCGAUUUGGCUUGGCGUCCUUCCCUUGUAUGCGUGUUAUGUGUCACGGACUUGAUGUCGCAUCCUACGUUCCCUUGUUGGGGUCCCUUGGCCCCGGCGACAGGUAGCGUCGUGCACACAUCCUGUGGGUUAGACAUUGCGGUGCCGACUGCCCCUGCUCUUGCUCCACCGAUGGGUGGUGCUCGAGCGUUCGGCUAUGGCGGCGUCCAACAGGGGAACGCGGGUUGUGGGAUCGAGGCAGCACACAAAGCAACCCGUAGCCAAGCAAAGGAUGCCCAACCGGACUGGCAUGGAGCAGGGAGUGCACGAGGGGUGUGGGGGAAGGGGUGAAAAUGUUGUCAGGAGCGGACUGACGCCGCCGUCAGAUUUUGAACCUGGAGUCGAGCGGUGAGGGGAUGACGAUAGGGGGGAGCAAGGAAGGUAGGAAGAGGGCACUUGGAGGAGAAAGGCAUCAUCCACCCUAUGCCUAUGUGUCAGCCGCGAUGGUGGACAAUUGUGGGCACUUCCGAUGUCUUCACGUGGAUCUACUACUCGGGAUGGCAUGACAUGGUUGUUGUGGAGUGAGGUGCCACAACUAUUGUGUUGUGUGGGUUAGUUUGGAGAGAUAGAAGUCGUGUUGCGCUCUAGUCUGGGCCUUCAACUGUACCAAGUGCAACUUAUUCCGAGUUUCUGCCCCCUCAAGCUUAAGCCUUUCUCUGAUCCAAACCUAGCCCAAGAAACGCAACCUAGCUAUUAAAGUUCUGAUAGCAUGGACUUAUAUCGAUGUGCUUAACUUAUGGAAUGUAAGAGCACCGCUUAAGCACCAACAACUUUUGCCUGGAAUAAAAGCCAAGAUGAGUUUGUGAUUGUGUGAGUCAAUCAUGUUACAUCCUUAAGCUCCAACAUGCACCAAGUUGGGUGGUGCCAUGCGGAAAUUGUUUUGAAGAGUUAUGGUUGGAUGGGAUAGUUUGAUGGUGAUGUAGAAGUGAUAUUCAGGAGAUAGUCAAAGAUGUUUGAUGGAUUAUGAGAACUUAGGUCUAGUUGAGCAUGGUGAUUAUUAUAUUGGUGGAUAAGCAGAUCUUUAAUUAAUCUUGGAACAAUUUCGAUUUAGUUAGGUGAUUGUGAUUUUGAACCAAUUUUCACGGUGGAUAAAUAACUUAAAUAAUACAUAUACAGAUCCAUAGUCGGUCAAUAGAACUUGUGGUUUAUAUUGGAUUUAGAUAGCCAUGAAAUCGGAGUUUAUUUAAAUCAUGGUCAUGAUGUUGGUGGAUUGCUUUGUGUUAAAUUCAUGCCAUUGGAGAUUGAAGUUGAAGAACUUUAGGGUAUAGUUUGAUCAACCUUGGAUAUAUCGGAUUUAUAUAGAUUAAUGAUAGUUAGCAACAUCAAUCAUGAUUAUGAAAUUUGGUGGAUUAUUAGAGCAACUGGGAUUGGAUUAGUAGUAUAAGGAAACAAGGAUCUUGGAGUGACACAACUUGUGUUUCCUUUAGGUCAGAAUGAGAGUUAGCAACACCAAUCAUGAUUAUGAAAAUUGGUGGAUUAUUGGAGCAUCUGGGAUUGGAUUAGUAGUAAGGAAGCAGGGAUCUUGGAGUAGCAUAGCGUGUGUUUUCUUUAGGUUAAAUGAUAUAGCUACUUGGAUUAUAGGAUGGAGAUAACUUGGGCACUCAGAUUUCUGAUGUUUUGAUCUAAGCUUAGUAGCUUGCAUGUGCCCAUAUGGAUAUAAUCAUGGAUAUGAUACAUGUGGAUGUGAGUUGUUUGACCUAGGUGAUUUUGUUGUCCCUCCUCAAGAAUGUUAUGAGUACAAGAUCAUCAUGUGAGGAUGGUUUGGAUUAAUUAGAAGAGAUGGCGAUUUUGAUGGUAUGUGAUAACCUUUGUGGGAGUUGGGCCAUGCGAGCCUCAUAACAAUUGGAUUCGGAGAAGUGGUGUUUAAUUGUGUUAUGGUGAACUUUCACCCUUACACCCAAACCCUAUCAACCUUAAGUCUCACCAAGCCAUGACUUGGUCGAGCCACGACAACAGAGUUGGAUAUGAAGCCCUUGACACAAUCCUUACCCCACCUAGCGAUUUGAUGAACAUCAUGAAUAACAUGUUUGUGAGUUCUUGGAUAACUUUGUCGUUGUCAUCAUUGAUGACCUCUUGGUUUAUUCACCCUCGGGGGAGGAUCAUAAGCAACACCUGAUAAUGAUUUUAUGUGGAUUUAGUUUGGUGAUUGUGAUAUUGAGGAGAUAGUCAAAGUAGUUAUGAGAUUUAACGUUUAGUAGAUGAGCAUGUAAUUAUUAUGUUAGUGGACAAACAUGUUUUUAUUUAAUCUUGGAACAAUUUGAGUUAGUUAAGUGAUUGUGAUCUUGAAUCAAAUUUCAUGGUGAAUUUUGAGAUUUUGGUUGAAUAUACAUUGGUGAUUGUGAUCUUGAGGAGAUGGUCAAAGAUUUUUGGUGGAUUAUAAGAUUUUAGGUCUAGUAAGCGACCGUGGUGAUUAUUAGAUUGGUGGAUAAAUAGAUAUUUAAUUAACCUUACAAUAAUUUGUUAGUUAGGCGGUUUAGGUUGAAUAUACUUUGGUGAUUGUGAUCUUGAGGAGAUAGUCAAAGAUUUUCGAUGCAUUAUGAGAUUUUAGGUCUUGUCGGUGACUGCGAUGAUUAUUAGAUUGGUGGAUAUGCAGAUAUUUAAUUAAUAUUAUAAUAAUUUGUUAGUUAGGUGAAUAUGAUCUUGAACUAAAUUUCACGAUGGAUUAUGAGAUUUUUGGUGGAGUUAGUUAGGUGAUUGUGUUCUUUAAAAGAUAGUCAAAGAUGUUCGGUGGAUUAUGAGAUUUUAGGUCUAAUUGGUGAGCAUAGUGAUUAUUAUAUUGGUGGAUAAAAAAAUCUUCGAUUAAUUUUGAACAAUUUGGAUUUAGCUAGGUGAUUGUGAUCUUUAACAAAAUUUCAUAGUGGAUUAUGAGAUUUUAAAUGGAUUUAGCUAGGUUGUGAUGUUGAGAAGAUAGUCAAUGAUGUUCGGUGGAUUAUGAGAUUUUAGGUCUAGUAGGUGAGCAUGAUGAUUAUUACGGUGGUGGAUAAAAAGAUCUUUAAUUAGCUGGAACAAUUUGGAUUUUGUUAGGUGAUUAUGAUUUUGAAUCAAACUUCAUGGUGGAUUAUGAUAUUUUAAGUCUAAUAGGUGAGCAUGAUGAUUAUAUUUUUUGUGUGCAUGACCGAGGAAGAGGAAGGAGGCGAGUUGUUGCUGCUGCUGUUUGAAUUGGAGGCUGUUGCUGCUUGCACUUGAGGGUGAUCUGUUGUAUGCUGGAUCUGCUGUUGUGUUGCUGGUUGAAGAAGAGGAGGAAGAAGAAGAGGGGUUUUUGCUUGGUGCUUGCUGUUGCAACUGGUGAUGGAGUGCAGUGCUAUGCUGCUGCUGAUUGGAGAAAGGAGAGGUGCUAGAAGCUACCUAGGAAUCUAGAUCGGGACCAAAUUGUCUGGUAGGUGUUGUGGUCCUGAAGGUGUGUUGCUUCUAGGAGUUGUUGCUGCUGCGUGCAUUUGUUUACCGGGGGAGAAAGGAAAAUUUGCUAUUGCGUGUGGAUGUUUUAGGAGGAAGGCUAGCUGCUGCGUGUGGCUGCCUGGGAGGAAGAUGGCAGGUGGUGAGGAGUCCAGGGUCAUCUUCUGUCACCGACCUCGAACAGGAAGCUGGAGAGUACCAAUUGGAAUUGGACCCAUGAUUCGAUGCGGUCGGAUGAUGGAUGUUCAUGUGGUGCAGAGGAAGGAGGAAGGCACAUAGGAGAUGGAGUGAUGAGAGGAGAUGUAGCUAGGUGCAGGUGUUGGUGGCUACAUGCCUCGGCAAGGAGAGUCUCGAAGGAUGCCCUGCUCGCUGCCAUCAUGGAGGAAGUUGUGCUGUGUGCACAUCAGGCCUCUGCCGAAGCGUCCAUUGAUGAUUCGUAGGCAAGGGUGGCUCACAUGAUGAACAUGACAACCUUCAUCAGGGAUGUCAAAGGUAGAGAUCUUCGAGGAGAGGACAAGUUUUUUUUCGAGAAAACGCAAAGGACCUUUGCGCUUCAUUGCAUUGGAGGUACGGGAGAGGACAUGUUACAUCCGCCUAGGAGGAGAGGACAAGUUUCGCUUGGUAUUUUCAUCCUUGGUUAGUUGAUGCUUUAUGAUUUGAGCUUCAUUGUUGAAGCUUAAUGUGUUAGGUCCAUCUGGCUCUUGUUCUUAAGAUUGGAGUAGUUGCAGAUUUCUGUUGUUAGAUUGGAUUACUUGCAGAUUUCUUUUUAGCUGCAUUAAGUUUACUAUGUCAGUCAGUGUUUGGUUAUAGGAGUACAUUUCUGUCAGUCAGUUUUGUGCCUGAGAGCAAAUCAAUUGGUCCGGGCCUGGUCAAACCGCUAUUGCUUGAGCCAGUUCUGGGAUGGUGACGCCUUGAAGAGUGUGGUCAAAGCGAGCCAGGACAUCACCACCCCCACGCCCAUCAUUUGAUCAUCAAUUAUACACUGCAGCGUCAACAUUACUUUUAACCAUCUUGGCACUGACAAUGAUGCCUCACACCUAGAGAUAGACACCGGGAAAAUAAGACCGCUGUUGGAUCAUAUCAAUAUGAGCCUCCUUCCUGAUGUUAUGCACAAUGCUUGACGAUACAGGACCGCCUUUGCUGUUCCGAGCCUCGUUGCGAGCGUGCGUCCCCAUAGAAACUGACACCUGACAGCAAUAGCAGUGGGUGUUUCUUCUUCUUUUUGACUAGAGUUGUUUCGACAGUAACUUGGAUUAUGAGGCAAUGAAUGUUUUCAAUUCACUAUAUAUCUUGCGGAUACUUUGAGCACCUCAAAGCACUGGGUUUGUCUGAUAUAUUACUGUUAGGCAUUCAAAUGUACCAGAUUAAGGGAAAGAAAGGCUACUUACCUCCAAAUCUGUGUUGCUCCCAAGCAUAGCGUUGUACAAAAAUGCAGCAGCGGCUGCAGGCAUGUCAAACAAGUGAUUUGAUUUGAUUUGCAGCAAAAGACCAAAAAGGAAUUGUCCCUUGAGAACUUGGAAUAAGUGAUCAUAACUAAGAAUUAUAUCAGUAAGUGUAACUGUCCUGAAGAUGAUAAGCGUUGCACUGCCCCUCAGCUAUUGUUUCUGUUUCCGUGGAGCAACGGUCAUAACAUUUGGAGACCUGACGUCGCCGGCAUGUCUCAUAUGAUCGCAUAUUCUCAUGGCUGUGCACUAAGCCUGUGUGAACAGAACAUUUGUCUGACCAUCUCGCUUCGCUUGCUCAGAGACACGGAUGUUCUCAUGGUCAUGCAGUCAGGCCACCAACGGCAGCGAGUGUGAACAUUUGUCUUUCGACCAGUAUGAACUACUCGGAUAGAUGGCUGCAUGGUACCGCUGGACACUCUUGAGUACUCUAUUGUUAAUCUUUAAGAAUGCACUGACAUAUUGUCUCUAAUUACUGUCAGGCAUAUCUAUUUUGUUAGCAUGACAAGAAAGAGAAGAAAACAAAUAACUAGGAAUGUAUGAUACAAGCUUCUGAGCAGACGUUCUUUGAUAGGAAUUGAACGGUGUUAUCUGUAUAGGUGUCGACUUUGGUGUUUCACCGUUUCUAAGGUAAGCUAUUUGUGUGACAAACUGACAUCUCUAAUACUGUUUUGGCCUGAAUCAUCAAUUCUGUUGCACAUACUAUUUGUGUGGGAUUACAAUAUCUGAUGCUCUGGACAUGUACAGAAAAGUGAGGCACCUGCUUAUUGAGAAGCCAGUGCCUAUGGUGAAAGUCUAAAUUCAGAAUAUAUGCCUGGACUACUUGAACCUUUUGCAUAAUUUUUUACUGGCAGUAGUUCAACAAUUUACAGUUAGCAUUUUAAGAAAGAGUAUUUGUAUGUGCAUCUUCAGCCAUGUUUCUUCUCUUUUAUGUCAAUGCAAGAUCUUACAAUUUUAAAUGAGGUGAUUGACGCAUGCUUUCCGAUUUUCUUAAGGAGGUUCAGGUAUGCAUUAUUUGUCAUCUCCGAGUUUAAACAAUGCCUUUCAUGUAACUGUAUUUGUUUGUCAUCUCCGAGUUCAAAGAAUCAUUCAAACCAAAUGCUUAAUCUUGAUAACGCUUUUCAGUUGUACGAUUACUUGUUCCAGGAUUUGUUCAUUUACUUGUUGCAGCCAACAACUCUCUAAUACGUAUCUUGUAUCAGGAUCCGUUGAUUACUUAUUUCAGGACCUGAUCUUCAAUUUGCCUAGUGUUACACAGAGCAAAAAUCUUCUCGUGGCUGUAACUUGCUCUUAUGCAUUACUGUUCUUUUUUUUUUUAUCAACUACUCCCUCUGUUCCUCAUAUAAGUCUUUGUAGAGAUUUCAUUAUGGACUACAUACGGAGCAAAAUGAGUGAAUCUACACUCUAAAAGCAUCUAUAUACAUCCGUAUGUGGUCCAUAAUGGAAUCUCUACAAAGACUUAUAUUUAGGAAUGGAGGGAGUAGCUAGCUGUUGCCUGCGGUGCAAAUUUUGUUUCCUGUUGUUGACUUGGAACGUUUCAUGCAGUGAGGAGGUUCUCAACAGUCACGAGCUCAAGUAUCCUGUAGCCUGUAGGUGAUUUUGGACUUUGGUUUGGCCUAGCAUUUAUAGUAAACUAAAUUCUGAGUAACAUGUAUGCUGAUAAUAGUGAAGACAGUCAAACACUUCAUAUUGCAAAAAGUUGUCGUUUUCAAAUUUUGUAGUACUGCAGUACUAGGAUGUUUGUUGAACUGGUGGACACAUGUGGGUACAAGCGAAGCGAGAUGGUGCCAAGUCAGACAGGGAACAAUGACUUGCUCUGCUGACUGCUACUGCUGCACUGGUGUUGUCUCUGGUCACUUCUUUGAUCCGGCGACGUAAAGGUUGUGUCUCUGUGUGUGUGCAGUAGCUGUACAUGGUCUGUGUAAGCCUUGGUGCUGUUACCCCAUGGCAUUGGUUGUCUUUGGUCAUGUGUGAUGCUGAAGCAAAGAACAAUGGUAUAUACAUGUUCUAAAGCAACAACUCUUUAAGAGUGAUCAUUGUUUACAUGUA